UGUCGAAUAUGUGCAGGCAAAUGCAAUCUUCGGGCGUUUACGUCCCAGACACAUAAAUGUUGAGUCUGAUGAGGAGACUAUGAGAAGGGAGAACAACAUGUUGAAGGCUGCAUUGGCUCGGGAGAGAUGAACAUGAAUCCAUUCUUCAUGCCAAUGAAAGUCUUCAGAGGGAAUUAGCCCAAAAUAAAGAGGAUCUGAGGGAAACCCAUGAUGUGCUGAUCUCGGUCAGAGAAGAAUUG
rnacentral:lncRNA from 1 species